rnacentral:rRNA from 1 species
AGUGAACGCUGGCGGUAGGCCUAACAUAUGCAAGUCGAACGGCAGCACAGUAAGAGCUUGCUCUUACGGGUGGCGAGUGGCGGACGGGUGAGGAAGACAUCGGAAUCUACUUUUUCGUGGGGGAUAACGUAGGGAAACUUACGCUAAUACCGCAUACGACCUACGGGUGAAAGCAGGGGAUCUUCGGACCUUGCGCGAUUGUAUGAGCCGAUGUCGGAUUAGCUAGUUGGCGGGGUAAAGGCCCACCAAGGCUACGAUCCGUAGCUGGUGUGAGAGGAUGAUCAGCCACACUGGAACGGAGACACGGUCCAGACUCCUACGGGAGGCAGCAGUGGGGAAUAUUGGACAAUGGGCGCAAGCCUGAUCCAGCCAUACCGCGUGGGUGAAGAAGGCCUUCGGGUUGUAAAGCCCUUUUGUUGGGAAAGAAAAGCAGCAGGUUAAUACCCCGCUGUUCUGAGGGUACCCAAAGAAUAAGCACCGGCUAAGUUCGUG